rnacentral:rRNA from 1 species
CACCAGAAGUAGAUAGCUUAACCUUCGGGAGGGCGUUUACCACGGUGUGAUUCAUGACUGGGGUGAAGUCGUAACAAGGUAACCCUAGGGGAACCUGGGGUUGGAUCACCUCCUUACCUUAA